rnacentral:RNase_P_RNA from 1 species
GAAGCUGACCAGACAGUCGCCGCUUCGUCGUCGUCCUUUCGGGGAGACGGGCGGAGGGGAGGAAAGUCCGGGCUCCAUAGGGCAGGGUGCCAGGUAACGCCGGGGGGGAAACCCCACGACCAGUGCAACAGAGAGCAAACCGCCGAUGGCCCACGUAAGUGGGAUCAGGUAAGGGUGAAAGGGUGCGGUAAGAGCGCACCGCGCGGCUGGUAACAGUCCGUGGCACGGUAAACUCCACCCGGAGCAAGGCCAAAUAGGGGUUCAUAAGGUACGGCCCGUACUGAACCCGGGUAGGCUGCUUGAGCCAGUGAGCGAUUGCUGGCCUAGAUGAAUGACUGUCCACGACAGAACCCGGCUUAUCGGUCAGUUUCACUU